rnacentral:rRNA from 1 species
UUUAUCCUACGGGAGGCAGCAGUAGGGAAUAUUGCUCAAUGGGCGCAAGCCUGACGGAGCAAUGCCGCGUGAACGAAGAAGGUCUUCGGAUUGUAAAGUUCUGUCCUUAUCGAAGAGAGGGUAUAGAGUGAAAAAUGAUAUACUAGGACGGUAGAUGAGGAGGAAGCCCCGGCUAACUACGUGCCAGCAGCCGCGGUAAUACGUAGGGGGCGAGCGUUGUCCGGAAUCACUGGGCGUAAAGGGCGCGUAGGCGGUAAUAUAAGUCAGAUGGGAAAGGUGGGGGCUCAACCCCU